ACGGAGGGUGCAAGCGUUAUUCGGAAUCACUGGGUGUAAAGCGCGUGUAGGCGGUUUGGUAAGUCAGGUGUGAAAGCUUCGGGCUUAACCCGAAAAGUGCACUUGAAACUGCCAGGCUUGAGUUCCGGAGAGGAAGGUGGAAUUCCCAGUGUAGAGGUGAAAUUCGUAGAUAUUGGGAGGAACAUCGGUGGCGAAGGCGACCUUCUGGACGGUGACUGACGCUGAGACGCGAAAGCGUGGGGAGCAAACAG
rnacentral:rRNA from 1 species